rnacentral:misc_RNA from 1 species
UUUUUUUUUUCUUUCUACGUUAAGAAAAAAAAUGGUAUCCAGUUCAGAAAUUUGCCUUAUCCUUGGCAAAUUUCACCAAAAACUUCAAAAUUGAGUACUUGGUAUCAUCUUCAACCUUCUCUUUCUCUCUAUCCUUGGUUUCAAAGACGCCCUUCAUUAUGCGUGUGUAGAGCCUCUCAAGCUGUGGAAUGCCAUAAUUUUCUGUGCGCUCCACAAAUAGCUUCUUCACAUACUCGAUUUGGCUUGAUAUUUUGGCAUCCAACAUAGUAGCAUCUUGGGAUCCACUCGCUUCAGCAUGAGCAGAAGCUUCUCUGGAAGUUUCCAGCCUAUUGGCAUCAGCAGAUGGGGAUUCUGGCUUUUCAAGAUCAAUUUCAUUUGCCCCUGGCUCUUCUGAUGGCUUUGCUUGUACUGUAUCUUGAUGCUGCGAUUUAUCUUCUGCCACUGAAGCUGCAAUUGCAACAUCAACGCUUUUCUUCUGCCUUUUCAAAGCCUCAUAG